GCCAAACAAAGAAAUGUGUGCCC
rnacentral:siRNA from 1 species